UACGAAGAGGGCUAGCGUUGCUCGGAAUCACUGGGCGUAAAGGGUGCGUAGGCGGGUCUUUAAGUCAGGGGGGAAAUCCUGGAGCUCAACUCCAGAACUGCCUUUGAUACUGAAGAUCUUGAGUUCGGGAGAGGUGAGUGGAACUGCGAGUGUAGAGGUGAAAUUCGUAGAUAUUCGCAAGAACACCAGUGGCGAAGGCGGCUCACUGGCCCGAUACUGACGCUGAGGCACGAAAGCGUGGGGAGCAAACAGG
rnacentral:rRNA from 1 species